rnacentral:misc_RNA from 1 species
UAAUAAGUGUUUUAUGGCACUUUUUAAAUCCAUAUCCACCUUGUGUGCAAUGUCAGUCGAUCUUCUUCAUGGAGAUCGACCAAACAUCAACCUUUAUCUUUUAACUCUUUGUCCUAAAAAUAUUAUGAAUAAACAAUUCAAAAUA